rnacentral:rRNA from 1 species
GACGAACGCUGGCGGCGUGCCUAAUACAUGCAAGUCGAACGAGAGCGACCGGUGCUUGCACUGGUCAAUCUAGUGGCGAACGGGUGAGUAACACGUGGGUAACCUGCCCAUCAGAGGGGGAUAACAUCCGGAAACGGAUGCUAAAACCGCAUAGGUCUUCGAGCCGCAUGGCUUGAAGAGGAAAAGAGGCGCAAGCUUCUGCUGAUGGAUGGACCCGCGGUGCAUUAGCUAGUUGGUGAGGUAACGGCUCACCAAGGCCGUGAUGCAUAGCCGACCUGAGAGGGUGAUCGGCCACAUUGGGACUGAGACACGGCCCAAACUCCUACGGGAGGCAGCAGUAGGGAAUCUUCCGCAAUGGAUGCAAGUCUGACGGAGCAACGCCGCGUGAGUGAAGAAGGUUUUCGGAUCGUAAAACUCUGUUGUUAGAGAAGAACAAGUGCUAGAGUAACUGUUAGCGCCUUGACGGUAGCUAACCAGAAAGCCACGGCUAACUACGUG